UACGUAGGGUGCGAGCGUUAAUCGGGAUUACUGGGCGUAAAGCGUGCGCAGGCGGUCUGUUAAGACAGAUGUGAAAUCCCCGGGCUUAACCUGGGAACUGCGUCUGAUACUGGACGGCUUGAAUCCGGGAGAGGGAUGCAGAAGUUCCAAGGUGUAGCGGUGAAAUGCGUAGAUAUCGUGGAGGAAUACCGGUGGCGAAGGCGGGUCUCUGGGCCGUAACUGACGCUGAGGAGCGAAAGCAUGGGGAGCGAACAGG
rnacentral:rRNA from 1 species